AGGCUUAUAGCUCAGCGGACAGAGCACCAGAUUCCGGUUCUGGGUGUCGAGGGUUCGACUCCCUCUUAGCCUU
rnacentral:tRNA from 2 species